UUUUUUUUUUUUUUAUUGAUUGUUUAAAUGCCUUAAUCAAGUGACUACACAUUUAAUAAGGUGAUAAAUAAAUUCAUCAUAUUCAUUCAAGGUGAAGAAAAUAAAACAAUUCAUGGUUUUUAUGAUUGUUUAUAGAGUUGUUAAUUUCUCAGCCUGGUUUGUCAAGCUUCUAGUUUGUAGUUGCUUUAGUUUUUUUUUUUUUUUAUUUGUUCUAAAGAAGAAGAAUUGUGUUUAUAUAGGCUAUUGUCAACAUAACUUUUGAUGCAAAUUUUUCUUGGAAUAGAAGUAGACAUAGUAUUUUUUAUAAAACUUCAUAGUAUAAAAUUUUAUAGUGUUGUUUCAAAGAAUAUCUAUAAAUGAUAGUAUAGCUUCUAAAAUUUAAGAUUAGAGAGUGAUAUCUAGAUGAAUAUUUUACAAAUAAAAUGGCCAAAUCUAUUGUUGAAUACUUCCCAUUUGUAUUUCCAGAUUGUGUUUUUUUACUUGUAUUGAGAAUUUUGAUGAUGUGUGUAUUUAUAAUCAUAUUGGAGAAUCCCAAAGCUAUUUUAUUCAAUAUGAAUAUCAUAGACAUAUAUAAUUAUUUAGAUAAGAAAUACUAGGUAGAAAAUAAAUGUAAAUAGAUUUGAUAUUAUCUUGUGGCAAAGCUUUUUAAAAGCUUUAUAAACACAUAUUUGAUUUUAUACAUAUUUAUAGUAUAAUAAAUAUAUUAUAUAAGAGACCAAAUAAGGAAUUGAACAAAAGAGUUUCAACAAGGAAGCUAGCAAGAACUUGAUUAAAUUUGACAAAUAUAAGAUCAAUACUAAGAGAGGUGAGUUAGAACUCCAAGAGAUAUAUUGUUGAGAUCAAGGAUCUCCUCAACUUCAAUUCCAAUAUAUACUAGGUAUUAGAAAGUUUUUCAAGAAUUUUCCAUGUUGCUUGAAGACAAAACAAUCCUAAAAAGCUUCUCGCACCACUUUUUUAAUCUUCUUAGAAUUUUUUAGAAUGUAUUGAAAUAUUUUAAGAACCUUUUAGAACCUUUUGAAAAUCUUUUCAAAACUUAUAUUAGAAUAUUUUAAAAAUAAUUUGAAAUCUUUUUAUUGGAUGUUUCAUAAUAGAAUAUUUUUAUAAUAUUUUUAAAAUUUAUUUAUUAAAUGUUUGUAAUAUUACCUCUCUUUUUAACUUUGAAUUCCAUAAAGAAUAUUAAUUUUAUAUCUAUAAUAAAAUAAUCAAAGCUUAAGCAUCAUCUUCAAAGUUUUCUUAUUUAAAUUGAUUAUAGUAUAGGCAUUUCUUCUAUUGAGAUUCUUUAAUAAAUUAUUUAAAGAUAUUAUAUUAGAUAUGGAGUAUAAGCCCCAGAUUCACCACUCAUUAAAUUAUUGCCACACAACAAGUUCAGGGGGUGGAAUGGAAGGACUCAUAAUUGUGAAAUUAUUGAAUUAAUUUAAAUGUGGAUGUUUGUAGUUCAAUUCAAAUUAAUGCCUUUCAAGCAAUGGUUACCAAUAUUAAAUUAAAAUGCUAAAUAAAAUUUAUUAUGAAAACAUAGUAAAAAUAAUUAACUAAGUUGUUACUAUGAAUUGAUCGUAAGAAUAAAAAUUUAAUUUUGAAUUAAAAGUUAAAAUUAAAAGGUUAAGUUAAAAGUUAAAAUUAAAAGAUAAAAUUAAAAGUUAAAAUUAAAAAAAUUAAGUAAUAAUUAAAAUUAAAAUUAAAAUGUUAAAGUUAAACUUUUAAAUUAAGUUUAAAAUUUAAAGUUAAGUUUAAAUUAAAAGUUAAAAUUUAAAGUGAGAAUAUUAAAGGUUAAAAAUUAAAAUUUAUUAGCCAAAAGGUGAAAUGUAGAGAUUACAAGUAAUUGUGAAGAUAAUAGUAAAAAUAAAAUAAGAGAGGUGGAAGCGAAGGUACCUUGAUAACAUGCAAGGAUUGAAGGCAGCGACCCCUUUCUACUCCAAAAUUCUCCAAAAUUGGUAAUUAGCUUUAAUUUGAAUGAUUUUUAGCUUAUUGCAAGGCUAACUUAAAGAUGCUCUUGAUUCAACAAAUCUUGUUACAAUCUAAUGAUUUACUUGUGAGAAUUUUUCCUUUGAUGUUGAGUGAUCCAAACUACCAUGGUGACCAAUCCUCUUCACUUAGAAAUUCAUUAAAAAUUCAGAUUGUCAUCAAAUCCAAUAAAACUUGUGCCUUUUAGAACUUAGCUUAUAAAGCUUGAUGCUCCCAAUAUUACAAAUGAAGCCAAUUAUCAAACACUGAGAAAUGCCUUUCUGAACUCGAUUGAUCCAAAUUGCAAAGGCAGUCGACUCCCUUGCACUCAAAAAUUUACCGAAAAUUCCUUAUUAUUCCAAAUCAACCGAAUAUUAUCUUUUCGUGAAGCUAACAACAAAAUAUACAACUAUUCGGAAUUUCACAUUGGAACAAAAGAAACUAAGAGUCUGAUUGAAGAAAAUCUGAGGCCCUUGAAACCCUUGGGAUAUUUGGGAGGCCGAGGGAGUUAUCUACCUCAAUGAAGCAUAUUUUAAAACUUAAUGACCAUCCUUCACAAUUCAAAAUCCAUACAUACACAAUCAUAAGGUUUACAAUGAGAUUUAAAAUCUAAAUAAAAUAAAGAUUAGAAUUUUGGCCAAAUUUUGGCAUACCUUCGCCUUUCACCCAAAAGAAGAGAGAGAGAGGGCUUGGAAAACCAAGCCUCUCUUACACAAUUGAGUGGAGGCUUGUAAAAGGGUGGCUACAUCUCCACCCUUGAUUUUUAAGAUCCCUAAUCUUGAUCUACGGCCUUCAUUCAUCCAAGAGCCAAUCUCAUUACCAAGGCUGAUGGCUCUUGUAAGUAGUCAAGAAAGCAUUUUUUUGGUAAAUAUAACUUCACCAUUGUGUUUGAAACAUCAUUUUAAGCUAAGAUCGACUACUCACAUGCCUCAAUCCAUGCUCAAUUAUAAUUUUCAUGGAAGUUUUUACUUACAAGGAUCUUGGCAAUUUUUUGUAAAAUUCUUCAAAAUGAGAAUUUCAUUGCUUCACUUGUAUUUUGAAGGAGAGGGUGCUGAUCUUGUUUUCUUUACUCCAUGGAAUAAAUCUGGUGCCACCAUUGCUUUGAAAAGGCUCCCAUUAAUUAGAAGAACCACCAUGCCGCUUGAAUUUGUCGAAUUUGGAUGAAAGCUCAAAAUUAUCAUUGCUAACUUUACUAAAUCUUUUAGAGAAUUUUAAUUCCAACUUCUAAAUCAUGUGAAUGAUCAUAGGCUUUUAGUCAACUCUCAUAGUAAUGAUCAACAACUUCUAAAUUAUUAAACUAACUAAGUUGCUAUUCUAGUUUUCUAACUCUAAUCACUUUAGUCCUAAUUAACCUAAUUCAAGGAAUUAAGUUAUAAUUUAUACCAUCAAGGAUUGUAAUCCUAAAAAUUCUAUAAAACUAAAUUUUAUUUAUAUAAAUCCUAAUAUAACAUAUUCAAUUAUCAUAAAAUAGAAAAAUAAUAAAAAUUUAAAUUUUAGAGUAUAAUUGAGAGUUCACAUGGAGAUUCAAUAAGUAUCAUGAUUUUAGAGAACCUUUUUAAGAUUCUAAAGGUGGAAAUAAAGCUCUUCUUUGCCUUUUUAUCUUCAAAUUGAUGGAUAAAUAUAAUACAUAAAUUAAGUUUUGAAGUAGUAUUUAAGAUGUACCAUUAACUAUCAACAAGAUGAUUGGAAAAUCCUACUGGCAUUGGUAAAAUUUGCUUAUAAUAAUAAGAUGUAUUCUUAUAUAUAAUAAAUAUCUUUCUUUAUUAAUUAUGAUUAUCAUCCACUUCUUGAUAUUUUUGAUUUUUUAAAAGUUGAUAAUCUUACUGCAAAAGGUUUGACAAAUUAUUUAUAUGAGCUACAUAUAAUAAAGAAGGAACAUUUAGAAGAAACUUAAAAAUGACAAAAGACCAAUGCAGAUGCCUUUCAAAAGGAGCAACCUCAAUUCUACAUUGCCAACAAGGUAUGAUUAUUUAAUUACAAUAUUAAAACUAGUAAUUUUUGUAAUAAGUUAGAUUACCAUAAGCUUAAACUAUUUUCUAUUUAUAAACAAAUCCAAUUGCUUAUUGAUUACAUCUAUUAGAGUCUAUGAAGCUCUAUCUUAUAUUCCAUGUAUUUUUUUUUAAUUAUAUAAAAAAUUAAAUAUCUCAAAAAAAAGACAAAUACCACAUUUUCUUAUAAAAGUAGAUAAUAAUCAAGAAUUUGAAGUAAAAGAAGACUUAGACUCAAGGCAUCAUUGAAUAAGGUUAGAAUAUCUUAUUUAUUACUAUGGAUAUGAUAUUAGUGAAUGCACAUGGGAGCCAACAAAGUAUCUUAUAAAUACAACAAAAAAGAUCAAAGUUUUUCAUCAAUAACAUCCAUCAAAAUUAAAAUAAAAAAUCAAACAAAUCAAUUUUAUAAAAGAAAUAAGAUCCAAUGAAGAUAGAAUUCUACUUUCUAUCUUUGUUUGUAAUUUUUUUUAUUUGUGGUGCUAAAGAUAUUAAGAACCAAUAACCACUAGAUUUAUCUUAAGAAUUAUCAUUUGUUGAUUUAUCAAAUGAGACAUUAACAUUAUCACAACCUUUGAGAUGUUGUAAUAGAGACAAAGAUCCUCAAUAAUAACAUAUUUUUCCUUAAAUAGAUAAGAUAUAAUAUAUUAGAUAUCACAAUUUUAGAAGAAACUACUAAUGUUUGAUAAUUUUAUUAGAAUAGAAAUGAUUCCUAAUAGUGUUCCAAAUGUUUUAUUUUGAAAGGAGUUAUGAAGGCCUUAAUAAUAAUCAAAUAAUAGAGUGGUCUUCCGCCUAGGAAUGAGACAAUAUUAGUGACUAAGAGGACCUAUUAGCCAUCUUCAAAGAGAAUAAUAAUUAGAAUAUAUGAUAUAUAUAAUUUAUUACAUCUUAAUUUCAUCAAGAUGUAAUCACUGCUCUUUGUAAAACUUGUUUGUAGAAGGAGGAGUAAUAUCAUGGACAUACAUAUUUAUGUCAAUUAUAAUUUAAAUAAUAUGAAUAAAUAAAAUAGAUAAAAUUAGAUAAUUUUACUAAUAUCUUGUAGAAUUUUUUUUAAAAAGCUUUAUGAAUACAAUUUCAUAUUUAUAUGUAUUUAAAGGUGAUUGAUAGGUUAAACACUUAGCCAAAAAAAUUGCUACAUAUUAUAUGUGUUGAUAGCUUGUAGUACAAAUUAACCAUAUGGCAUAUAUAUAAGAAGCUUAUUUUAUAAGUUAAGAUAUGUUUCUUACAAAUUAGACAUGUAUCACAGGUCCUAUAAAACGUUGCCACAUAGCUUUUAGUUAGAUAGCAUAUAUAGAGGGAAGAAUGAAGCCUUCUUCAUUCUUAUCAAUUCAGUUUUUGUUUUUAAUCUAAUUUCAAGAGUUUCAAAAUUGAAGUCUUUCGCAAUAGCCAUUUUAGUUUCUUCUUGAAUAUACAUACUUCUUUAUUAUCAUUUUUUUAUCUCUCUUUUAUACUUAUUUCAUUUGUUUAUGUAUCAUCCUUUGAAUUCUUGUCCUUGACAAUGACAUGGAUGGCAAUGAACAACUUGUAAAAAUACUUGAACAAGAAAUAAUUGCCUAAAUCAUAAUAAAUCUGGAAAAUUAAUGGUCUAUCUAUACACAAUGUCACAAAUCCUUCAUAAGUAUGCUUAUCCUUUGACAUUACAAAUUAAAAGGCUCUAUAUCCAGAAGUACCUAAUUCCUCUCUAUUAAACAAAUUAAGGUCAAGAUUAUCCACCACAACCUUGUAACUCAUGACCAUCACUCUUAACUAGAUUAUUCAUUUGUGUCAAAUAUUAUACUAAUUAUUAUGCCUAUAUAUAUAUAUAUAUAUAUAUAUAUAUAUUAAGCUUUAAAUAUAUACAUAUAUAUAUAUAUAAAGCUUUAAAUAUACUUUUGGAUUUUUGUUAUAAUUUAUAUUAUAUAAUAUAAUUUUUUAUCUAUUAUUAUAAUAUAUUUUAUUAUUAUUAUUAUUAUUAUUAAUUUUUAGUUCUUUUUAUAAUCUUUUAAAAGAAUAUUUGAAGGUUUUUCUUUAUUAACUUGAUUGACACAUCUCUUUAAAUCAAAAAUCAAAUUUUUCUUUUUUUUGUAUCUUUUACAAUCUUAUCAUUUGUGUGAUGAAAGAUGAAUUCAAUUCUAUAUAUAAAUAUAAAAAAUAAUGUAGAUGCAAUUAAGCUUUUUAUAAGAAUUAAUGGCCAAUUUUUAUAUAUAUAUAUAUAUAUUGAUAUUUUUAUGUCUUUAUUAUAAUACAUUCAUGAAUAUUUGUUAUAAUACAUUCAUGAAUAUUUAUUAUAAUACAUUUAUGAUUAUUAUAUAUAUAUAUAUAUAUAUAUAUAAGAUGUUGGUAAUGUCCCUAUUAAUUGCCAACUUAUAUUCUAUAGUACAAUCCAUUUUAUGCAACAUUGCUAAUUGACAUCUCAAUGGAUAAAAUGCACAUUAUUUAUGGAUAUGUAUAUUAGUAUUUUAUAAAACAUAUUGUAGUAUCUAUUGCAAGUUUUUGAAAAAUUUUAAUGAUAUUUAACCAAAAUCAUAAUGACAUGUGGUAUAAGCAAGUUAUGAUGGUAGUAGCAAAAACUAUGGUAAUGUUAGAAAUAUGUUAUAUAUAUAUAUAUAUAUAUAUAAUUAUUUUAAAUAGACCCAAUUUUUUUAUUAGAUUGAUCCACCUAUCCUAACCAUCAUAAAAAAAUAAUGAUUUUUAGAUUUAUUUUUCUAUUAUUGGAUAUGUAGUCAAUAAAAAUCAAAUGUAUUUAUAUUAAUUACCAUAUUCUUCAUUAAAGGUGGAUCUAUUUAGUAAAAAAAUAGGUCUAUUUAAUAUUCUCUUAUAUAUAUAUAUAUAUAUAUAUAUAUUUCAUAAAAUAAAAUUGAAUAUAUUUACUUAGUAACUUAAUGUGUGGAACUUUAUUAUCUAAAUAUUUUUUAUGUAAAUUAAAAUCAUAUAAAUAUCUGAAAUAUUUCAAGGUAAUAUAUGAUAUUUUAUUUUUACAAGUUAUUUAGCUAAUAUUACACUAAAACUGACUUUAAUAUUAUUGAAGGAAUUUAGAACAUAAUAAAAUAGUGAUAUUAGCAAGAAUAAAUGUAUUUAAUUAACAUUUUUAUUAUUAUGAGAUCUCAAAUACAAGCAUUAGAUUUCUUUUUCAAAAUAUAUCAACUUUGUUGAAACAUAUAAUUUUAAAGGAUUUAAGAAAUAUCAAGUGGAAUAAGAAUGCUGUUUGGAAAUAGUUAUUUCUAGAUAUGUAGUAUGUAAAUAGUUUCUAAACUUUUUUCUAUUUCAAAAUUAUGCAAAAAUGUGGCUUGUAGUGUUACUGUUUUGUUUUUUUGUUGUAUUUUAUUAUAUGAUAGUAAAAACAAGUCUUCCUACACUACUUCUACACUUUGAGUGUUUUUACAGUAUUGUGAAAAACUGUGUAAUUUAUGCAAAAAAUCAAAUUAUAGAUUUGUGACAUUGCUAAGCAUGAUUAAUUUAUAUAACAUUAUAUGAUUUUCUUAAAACCUUAAAUUAUUAUUAAAUAUUUUUACUUAAGAUUAAGAAAUAAAUUCUACAACACUAUAUAGUUGAAUUCAGAAUGCAUUAAAUAAUAGCUUAUAAAAUUUAAGUAUAAAUUAGUGAUUUUUAUUUAUUUAUUUAUUUAUUUUUUUGUAUAUGAUAUGUGUAUUCUUAAUAAUGUAAAAAAUACUAAAGUUUAGUAUGAAUAGAAAUUUAGUAGAAUUUGAUCAUAUAUAAGGAUGUCAUAUAAAAAGAUUCCUUCUCUAUCUCUACUUUGUUAAGAAAGCUAGCUACAAUAUCAUAUUGCUAAAAAUCUCAGUAAGUUGUGAUUAAGACACGAAAGAGACUACUAAGUAAAUUUGGUUUAAAACAUGAUACUACAACUUUUAUGUUUCUGUACAGCCACAUUUCAAAAUAUCCAAAAAUAAUUUUCCAAUUUUUUUUCAUAAUUUUUGUUUAUUUAAUAACAUGUGGUCAUACAUUUUUAAUCUAUUUUUCAAAUAACGUUGAAUUAAUUUUAUUAUAAAUAGAUGUAAAAUAAAUUUCCCUGUGUCUCUGAAAGUCAAUGUAACCAUUUAUGCAGAAAUAUAUAUAUAUAUAUAUAUAUAUAUAUACAUAACUCAGAUUGAUUUAUUUUUCUUAAAUUUCUUCAAAAAUUGCAAAAUAAGGAAUUAUAUAAAUAAUAGAUUUCUUUCUUAUUUCACUCACAAAGCCAUAUUCAUGAAUUUGUUAGAUCUCUGCAAAAAAAAUAACAAUCGAAUGAUAAAAAAUAAGAAAUAUGUCAAUUUAUUUGAAUAUUCAAAGAUAAAUUACUUGUUCUAAAAUUCAUCAUUAUCAUUCUUUUAAAAAUUAGAAGCAAAUUCAAUGUUAAUUAUGAUAAACGUGUAAUUCCAGAACCUUUGAAAUGUGUGAGAGAUUAGUGAAGCUACAUCCAAAAAAAAUCACCGAGUGAAAAAUUUCUCUUCAUUCACUUUUAUAAUUAUGUUAAAUUUUUGUUGAAAAAAUUGUUUUUCUGACGUAGAUGUGCACAUUUAUUUUAAUUGUGUAGAAGUAAACAUCUUCGUCAAUCUUCUACCGUAGUAUAAAUUAUUUGGUAGAAAUAUUUUCUCAAUGAAUCCUUGCAAUGAUGAAUACAAAAAAGUAGAAAAAAUUAAGAUUCUAUUAAAGAGGAUAGUUAUUUUAUUUGAAAGAAAAACUGAAAGAAUUAGCUGUUUUAGAUAAUUAAAAGUAUUUUAUUUUACCUCUUUUAGAAUUUAAUUUAAAAUAAAUUCAAUCCUAAAAUUAUUCUUGUAAUAAAUUGGAAUUUAACAUAACUUUUAUAAUUAUGUCAAAAUUAAAAAUAGGUUAACAUAACUUUCAUUUUUUUAUUUUAUUAAUUUUUCUAUGGAUCGUUUUGAAGGAUCUACCAAAUAUAUUUCCAAACAGUUAUCUUAAAUUUAAUAACCAAAUUAGGUAUAUUUUUUUUAGCAAAUCAUGACAGUAAAAAUUUAUUUUAAUCCAUUAAGUAUUUAAUUCAGAUUUUCAAUAGAAAAUUAAGAUGCAAGUUGAUAAAAUUAUUAUAAAAAAUUAAAAAUCAAAUAAAUGAUAUUUAUGUUAUUUAUGUAACAAAAGAUUGCAAAUAUCUACAUGAUAUAAAGAAAAUGAAAUUCGAAGAUCUAAGUAUGCAUUAAGAGUGAGCCUUAAUAUCAAAACAAUUAAAAUUACUAAAAAUAGAAGCUUAUAAUAAACCAAAAAGAAUCACAACUUUUAAGAUUAAAAUAUAACAUCAAAUUAAUGACUAGUAGAAGUAUCUAUAUUGGUAGAAUCAAAUAGACACAAGACAAGUUUCUAUAUAAACAAAGAAAUUACCAAAAGAUAGAAUGUUGGAUGCCAACUUAUACAUAGAAAUGUAGCUUAACAGCUAAAAGAACUUGAUUAAAUAUGUAUUAACAAUAAUAUUUACAAGAACAUCUUCAGUACCAAAAUUUGUUGAUUGUAAUAAAAAUAACCUCUACAGAAACCAUUGGAGACUUUUGAAUAAAUCUAUACUUACUAAAUAUAAUUUAUAAGACCUUAUCUUUGUUGAUACUGGAUAUUAAGGUGAGAUUUUUUUGUAUUAAAAUACAACUAUUGAUAUAUAAAAAACUAAGUUAAAAGAUUUUAUUGACUCAAAUAAUUCAGAAUUCAUAAGAUAGUCCUAAAACAAAUAUCUUCAUACUUUAAAAAAAAUUCAAAAUCAUGAAGCAUUAAGUAUAAAAAUCUAAAAUAUCAAAAAAUAGAAAAUAAUUUAAAUGCAUAAAUAUAAAUAUCUAUUACAUUUUAGAAGAAGAGCUAGUCUUUUGAAGGUUGGCCUAAACACAAAGCAUGUUGAAUUUUUUUAAAAGUUUAUUUUAAUAAAAAAUAACAAUAUAAUAUAUUAUCUAUAUGUAUAUAUAUAUAUAUAUAUAUAUAUAUAUAUAUAUAUAUAUAUAUAUAUGUAUAUAUAUAUAUAUAUAUAUAUAUAUAUAGACAAAAAGAUCUACUUAAAGUCGUGAGAUAAAAAAUAUAUACAAUAUAAAAACAUGAAUUAGGACAAUAUUCUAGUAGUCUUCUAAAAACUUUAUAAAAAUAUGAUGAGGUUAUUUGACAAAUUUUACCAAAUAAUAAAAAUAACAAUACAAAUUAGACAACAUUGUAUAACUUUAGAUAAGAAAUUAUGCAUAAGAAGUAGACAAAUAUUCUUAGACUUAUGAUUUGAAUUUCAAUAGUAAAGACAAUUGAUUUUUAAAACUUCAUUUAAACUAAGUUAAGGUGUUAUAAAUAUGAAACCAUUAUAAUAAUCAAAAAAUUAUCAUCAAAGCUCUUGUUUCGUUCAAUUAUAUUAAAAAUGAUUCUAAAUAAAGAAAAGAUGGUGAUUUUUGUAGGUAAGAUUGAUAAAUAUAUUAUGUAAGCAAUUAAAAGUAAUUUCAAUGCACAAAAGUGCUAAAAACUUAACUACAGAUAAUACUCUAGAGAGAUAAUUGUUAAUAAAAAGAAGUUGAGAAACAACAUUAGAAAGUUGUUUAUAAAUCAUAAUUAUUUUAUUUUAAUUUAUACUUAACAAAAAGAUGGAAUAUGAACAUUCUUUUUGAAAAAAAAAUGUCUAUAUAAAGAAAUUAUAUAAAAGAGAUGUUUGAUUCUACAACAACAUUGUUUUUACUAUAUUUCAUUUAAUGCUAUAUCUAUAUUAGUUGAAUAUGAUAUUACUUCUUUUAUUAAAUUGAUUAUUUAUUUUGAUGAAAAAAAUUAAAAGACUUAUAAAUAUCAAAAAAAUAUAUAUUCUUUAUUUGUAUUUUCUUUUUACAUACAAUACAAUGAAUGAAAUCAAAAUCUUUAUUAAAAAAAAAAAAAAAAAAAAAAAAAUCCUAAAUAGUAAAGCUUAAAAAUUUGAAGUUUUUUUUUAAAAAUUUAACUUGUAAAUAUUAUCUAUCUACAAUGAAAAAAAUACUAAUAUAAUUUUUAUAUAAUUAAUAAUUUAUUAAUAUAUUUAUUUUUUUACAAGAAUUAAAAUAAAUAAAUUAGAAUAAUGAGGAUCUUUACUCUUACUAACUUAAUAUCUUAAAUUCUUCUUGAAAUAUUUAAAAUUGGUUGAAAUUAAUUAUUUUAGAAUUUAUAAAUUAAAACUAAACAAUCAAAUAAGAUAAUAUACUAGUGACCUAAGAAGUUAUUAAUUAGGCUAAGAAAUAUAAACAACUAUCAUUUGUAUAAAAGUUGAAUAUCUUAAUUUAAACUAAAAAUAUAUAUAACUAUUAUAAUAUACAAAUUAUUAAUGAAUGUGUAGUUAUAUAUGUGUACGUUUAAAUAUAUAUAUAUAUAUAUAUAUAUAUAUAUAUUUAUAUAGAUAGAUAGAUAUAAUUUGAUAUCUUUUCUUGUAGAAAAAAAUUGAAUUUUUUGCAAAAAUUACAUAUUUCUAUAUAAAUUUUAGAAGUGCAUACAAGUAUGCAGAAUGUAGAAUUGGAUUGUAUCCUUUCUAUGUAAAACAUUUCUUUAUUUUUGUAGAUAAAAUUCUUAGAAUAUUUUGAAUUACAGAAAUAUUCCAUUCAUGCUAUUGAACUUUCAUCCAGUCUCAAAAUAUUCUAAAUAAGAUAGAAUUUCUUUGUCAGAUAUGCAUAUAAAUUAUAUAGACACAACAAAAUGCCAUGGGUUUUGAAGAAAAAUAAAGAAUCAUUUCUAAAUAAGACAACUUGUUUAGUCUAAUAUUAUUGAAUACAGAUGCAUAUUUUGCAAAAAUACUCUUUACAUAAUACAAGGACAACGUAACAAGUUUUAUCUGUUUUUAAAAUUAUAUUUUAUUUGUAUGCAUUAAGUGAUAGCUAACUUUGAACAUAAACAUUAGAUAAUAUUUUAGAAUUUUAUGGACAUAAGAUAUAUAAGUUCUUAAAAAUAUUAUAAAAAAUCAAAAAUAUAUAAUUUGUUAUCCUAUGUUUAUUUUUAAUUAAUUCAGUAAUUUACUUGUUUAAUUGUAUAUUCCUAUUAUGGAUUUUAUGAGCAUAAGUAUGAAAGAAAAUUUAAAAACACCCAUGUUUAUAUAUUUAUAUGUAUAAAUAAAUAAAUAUAAAUAUAUAUGUAUGUAUACACAUAAAAUUAAAUAUUAUAUUAUGAUUCUGAUGGUAAAAAUAAUAAAAAUGUAUUUUUUAUAAUAAAAUUAAAUAUAAAAUAUAUAUUUUUUGAAAAAUUAACUAUAAAUUUCUUCUAAAUUUGAUUUGAUUUGAUUUUUUACUGGUUCUUGAAAUAAUAUUGAUAUUUAUUUUGAUAAGAUUUAAAAAUUAGCACAUUACUUUUGAUACAAACACUAUAAUAAAAAAUAUUAUUUUACUUUUAAUUUUGAAGUUAUUAGAUAAGGCACAUAAAUUUACAUAAUACUAAGAGACUACAAAUUUUGAAUAUAUAUAUAUAUAUAUAUAUUUAAAUGAAAAUUAAAUAUUCUAAUAAUUUGAAUUCUAAAGAAUUUUUCAUAAUAUAUGAUACACAUUUUUAGUAAAAUACAAAUUACCAAUUCUUGAUGAUUACAGUAGCUUCUCACUUAUUGAAUAUGAAACUUUAUACGAUGUAAGAGUUUUAAAGUAUCUUAAGGAUCGUACGAACAUUUUACAUAAGGUAUCUUUUAAAUAAUGCAUAGAUUAAAAUAUCAAAAAAAUAUUUAUAAUUAUUUUUAGAGUUAAUUAAAAACCAAAAAACUAAUAUUUUAGUUUUUUAUUCUUACUUCUAUAUAAAAUUGAAAUAUUACAAAAAGAUUGAUUUACUAAAAAUUUAAUAAAUUAAUAAAAAAAUAUAAUUUAAAAUCUACCACUUGUGUUUCAUAAUGGGUCGAUUCAUCUGAGCUGUAUGAAUAGAAGAAAAGAGUAAUUUGUCUGGAGCUGAGAGAGAUGUUAAGAAAGUGGAAGCUGUUCUCAUCAGUGGAAACAGCGAGUUGGGUAAUUUGCCAGUUGCCAUUUUGUAUAAUGUUGCCUAUAUUCUGUUGUUUUUGUGACGUUGUUUAUACUUACACGCACCCACGUUAUCUUGCUCUCACACGUGGGUUGUACAAGCUAAGGACUGAUCACUACAGUGUGAUCAAUACCUUAACUAGAUAAUGUCGUAAAUUACUCAUCCCGAAGAAAUCUAAUUUCGAAGUCAUUCGAUUUCAGGAUCUAAUCAUAUGUCUUGUCUGGUUCACAAGCAACUAUUAUUUAGAUUAUCCUACAACAAGACUGUUAAGGAAAGGCGUGAAUAAUGCCUUGCGAAGAUGAGGCAAAUAUUAAACAGAUACGUCGAGUUAUGAACCCAUGUUCCUGUCUGCAAAACACGCAGUUAUUGAGCCUGUCGUUGCCACAGCAACGUCCAGUGUAAUCAGUUUUGAGCGAGAAAGAGGUAAAUGCAUUCUGAACGAUUGAUUAACAGUGUUGACGGCAGAUUGAAACAGCUUAUUCAUAUCACUUGUGUGAGCUCAUUUCGAAUUCAAGGGGGGAAGAUGAACACAGCUAGAAUUGCUUCCCCUGCCAUCAGUUUUUUUUUUUUUUUUUUUUUUUUUUUUUUGUUUUUGCGAUAUAAAACCUGGAUUUGAUAUUGUUUCAUUUACAGACAAAAUGAAGCAUUCCGAGUAUCUUCAUUGUUGGUUGAUCUGUACUCUAUUUGUCUCAUUGCUGAGUGUGGGUGUCACUUUUUAUGACUUAAAAAUACGAUGAAGUUAUGGACGCUAAUGUUUGAACAUCUCUUGUUUAGACGUCCAUGUCUUCGAUGCUACAAGUGCUAAUGAUUUAAUGCUGCUUAAGUUCCAUCAUGGUUGGUCCUUCAAGGUCCACGGAACUGAGUUUAGGUUCAUGAAUGAUGCCUCGUUUAAUUUCAUCACUUGCCUAUGAAACCAUUAACCAUUCCUUUUAAGGCCUUGGUUCAAUCUGGGUUCUUAUCAGAAUAAGAUCUUUGAGAUGUAUUCCAUUCAAUUCUUCAUUUGGUUUUGUUUCUCUUUUAGUGAAGAAGAAUGUAAGAACAUGACUCAAAUCAUUUCUGUUUCUAUUUAUCUUUAUUUUUGUUACCGGAAAGAUUACAAUUAUUUAGCAUUUAAUGCACUCAUGUAUUGGACGUGGAUGUGUAUUGUUUCAAAUAUCAAUACGAGUUUGAAGAAACAUUUCAAUAUGUGUGUGUAUAUAUAUAUAUAUAUAUACAUAUACAGUUGAAUACAUAUGUAUGCAUUUAAAGAUGAAUGUAAAUAUAAAUAAACAAAAUGAAUAUUUACUCAAUUUGGCUCCUAAUUAUAAAUUUCAAAUAAAUAAAUAGAGGAAAUUCAAAAUCAUAUUUUACUUUAUAUAGAAUUUUAUAGAUUAUAAAUAAAUCACUACUCACUCUUUUGUAUUAUACUUUAUAAAAAUAUGUAUUAACAACACAUCUUAGCCAUACAUUAAAAUUAAUAUUAUGAUAAGUUUUUAAUAAGCUUACAACCAAACCGCUAAUAUGUAUGAAAACUAAUAUAAUUCAAAUAUGUUUGAAUCCAUUAUUUUAUUAUCAUUUUUAUUUUUAAUUGAAAAAAUUGAUCUUAUCUAAUUUUAGGACAAGACGAACUUAAAUAUUAUAUUUCAACUAAAAUUUUGAUCUAUUUUAAAACCUCAAUAAGUAAAAUUUGAAAAUUUCUUCUAAUUAAAUAUAUUUUCUUAUUUUAACUCAUGUUUCAUAUUCUUUUUAUUUGUUUUUAUUACAAGAUGUAAAAUUUUAAUCAUUAGAUUUCCAUUGUUUUAUGUCCUAGAACUAUUUGGUCUUUACAAUUUUAUUGUAUAUUUUAUAUUUUAACAAAAAGAUUAUGAAUUUUCUUUGUAAUAUUGACUCAAUAUAUACUAAAAUAAUUAUUUUAAAUUAUAUUUUUCAGUAAAUCAAUCUUUUUGUAAUAAUAAAAUUUUAAAUAGAAGAAAAAUUAAGAAACUAAAAUAUUAGUUUUUUGGUUUUUGAUUAACCCUAAAAAUAGUUAUAUAUAUAUAUAUAUAUAUAUAUAUAUAUAUAUAUUGAUAUUUUAAUCUAUGCAUUAUUUAAAAGAUACCUCAUGUAAAAUGUACGUACAAUUCUUAAGAUACUUUAAAACUCUUACAUGGUAUAAAGUUUCAUAUUCAAUAAGUGAGAAGCUAUUGUAAUCAUCAAGAAUUGGUAAUUUGUAUUUUACUAAAAAUUUGUAUUAUAUAUUAUGAAAAAUAUUUUAGACUUCAAAUUAUUAUAAUAUUUAUUUUUUAUUUAAAUUAAUAUAUAUAUAUAUAUAUAUAUAUAUAUAUAUCUAUAUUUUUAAAUUUUUUAGUCUUAAUAUUAUGUAAAUUUAUAAGCCUUAUCUAUUAAUUUCAAAAUUAAAAGUAAAAUAAUAUUUUUCAUUAUUGCGUUUGUGUCAAAAGUAAUGUGCCAAUUUUCAAAUCUUAUCGAAUUAAAUAUCUAUAUUAUUUCAAGAACCAGUAAAAAAAAAUCAAGUCAAAUCAAAUUUAUUUGAAAUUUAUAGUUUUUUUCUUUUUUUAAAUAUUAUAUUUUAUGUUUAAUUUUAUUAUUAAAAUAUAAAUUUUUAUUAUUUUUUUCUAUUAAAAUCAUAAUAUAAUUUUUAAUUAUGUAUAUAUAUAUAUAUAUAUAUAUAUAUAUAUAUAUAUAUUUAUUUAUUUCUACAUAUGUUUUAAGCAUAUAAAUAUAUAAACAUGGAUGUUUUAAAUUUUCUUUUAUACUUAUGCUCAUAAAAAUCCAUAAUAAGAAUAUUAAAUUAAACAAAUAAAUUAUUUAAUUAAUUAAAAAUACACAUAGGAUAAAAAAUUAUAUAUUUAUGAUAUUUUAAAAUAUUUUUAGGAACUUAUAUAUCUUAUGUCUACAAAAUUCUAAAAUAUUAUAUACCAUAUAUGUUCAAAGUUAGCUAUAAUUAAAUGCAUAUAAAUAAAAUAUAAUUUUUAAAAUAUCUAAUAUUACUUUAAUACCAAAAUUUGAUAUAUUCUUAUCCAAUUGUAUUCUAUGGUUCUAUAUUAUUUCAAUCUUUAUUUCUUUUGUUUUUACAAAUCUUUUAAAAAUUAAAUUUUUGAUUACGAAAAGCAUAAAAAAUUGUGUUUUUAUCACUAUCAUUAUUUAUUAAGGUUAAAUAAAAAAUAAAAAAAUCACAUUUAAAAUUAAAAAUAUUUAUCUUUUGUGAAGAUAUAUAUAUAUAUAUAUAUAUAUAUAUAUAUAUAUAUAUAUAUAUAUAGAUAUAUAUUUCCAAAAAAAGAGGUGUGUGGCUUGGAGUUAUUCACAUAGUCAAAGUGGUUGUCUACCUAUAUGUUUUCAAAAUAAAAUAUGUCGCCAUAAAUAUAAGCUAGUAAAUUAAAUAAAAUAUUUCAAUAUUUUUUAUGUAGAUAUGGCUUUGUCUAUUUUUAAAUGGUAUAAUUUUUUUUAUUUAAAUAUGUAAGAUAUUUAAGUCACAAUUCAAAUAUUUUAAAAUUAAAUUAUAUUUAAAUCACUUUUUUUAAUCUUUUUAUAGAUAUUGAAGAACAAUUUAAACUUCUUUGAAUAAUUUUUGUGUGAAGUUUGUAUUUAUGUACCAUUUGUUGCUAAAAAAAAUUCGUAAAAAUUUGAAUUUAAGUUUGUUAAAUAUCCAUAAAUCUAAAUUUAUAUUAAUUGAGAUUAAGAAUGUAAAUCUAAAUUAACCUCUAAAAAUAUAAUAAAUUCAUAAACCUCAAAGAAAAAAAAGAAAAAUGAUAUAAAAUAUAAAAUUUUAGAAUAACCAUUAUGAAAUAGACAAAAGAUAGAAUUAAGAUUAAAAUAUAAUAAGUACAUGAAUAAAAAUGAAAAAAAUCUUGAUUUUAUUUCCAUAUAUAUAUAAACUAUCAAGGAGGCUAUGUAAAAACUAUUAGGACCAUAAAUUUUAUAACCUAAGUAUCCAAGUUGUAGGUUAUUUCUAUCUUAAUUUCUUUAAAAUAAAAAAUUUCUAGAAGAAGUUAGUACAAUUACUUAACAACUUUAGAAACACCUUCAAAUCUAAUAGGUAUCUAAAAAACUUCUCUAAUAUUUUUUAAUAAAAAUAUCAAUCACUUUCUUCUAUUUAUUCAAGAAAUAUAGAUAUUUAUUAUAUUUACAUAAAAUAUAUUUAAAAAAUAUGUAUUUUAUAUAAUUUAUUCAAUAUAAAUAUGUUAUAAAAUAGAAUAUAUAUUAAAAAUUAUUGAGAUUUUAUCAUUUACUAUAAAUAAAAGAUAUCUACAAUAAAUCUAUAAAAUAUAAUAUACUAUACAACUCUUAAUAUAUGAAUCAACUUUAGAUUAUUAAAGGAACAAUGCACUAAUUUCAUCAAAGUCUACUACAAAUGAAAUCAUAGAAGAAUCUACUACAAUUGGAUAGAGAAGACCAAAUGCUGCUAUUGUGUUGCAUAUGCUCUUGCUUGAAAAUUCAUGAGGCUUUUAAUUGUGGAAGAUGAGUAGAAAUACAAUAGUAAUUCUACAAAAUCUAAUAGAAUCUUAAAUAAACUUGAAAUAAACUUGAAAUAAACUUUAAUAUCUCUAAUCAAACUUUGAAAAAUUAAAAAUAAAUUUAAAAGAAGUUAUAAAAGAAAUAAAAAUAAGUCUUAAACUAAUUUCAAAAAAAAUAAUAAGAAAUUUUAAAGAAAUAUAAAAAUAAAAUUUUAAAGAAAUAACAAUAAUUUUAAAAAAUUAAAUUAAAGAAAUAAAAAAGAACCUUAAAUAAAAUUUACAAAUAGAAACUCUAAUUUAAACUUUAUCAAUUUGUAGGUCAAAUCUUAAUUGAAAUCUUUAUUGAACCUUAACCAAAUCUUAUGUCAAACCAUAAUGAAAUCAUAAUAAAAUCCUAUAUCCUAGAUAAAUCUUAGAUAAAUCCUAAUCAAUCUUUAAUUAAGUUUUAAAUCUAAUUCCAAGUAAUUUCUAGUCUUAACCAAAUUGUAGAUAAAUCCUAAAUCAAAUCCUAUAACAAAAUAGAAUAUCAAAAAUUAAUAAUCAAAUAAUUUGAUAUCAAUUCAAAAUUUGCACACUUCUUAAUAUCUUAGUUAGAAAAAAAACAUAAGAAAGAUGAAAUUGAUUGUAAUUAUUAAUUAAAAAAAUAUAAGAUAAUCCAAUCAGGUGUUGGACAACCUCCUAUUCCAUCCUAAAUGCUGAACUUUUAGCACCAAUAUCUCCUUCUUGAACUAUUGAAUUACUCUCAAAUUUUAUCUAAAUGUUGAAAAUCAAGUCUAGUAUCCUCAGAAUCCACAAAAACCUUCACACACUUGAAUCUAAUUGUUUGAUUGACCUCAAAAUUUUCACAAAUUUAUAAUAAGCACAUCAACACAAUGUCCAAAAUUCAUUUGUACUUACACCACAAAACUCAAGAAAUCUUCAAAUUUAUAAACAUAGUUUUAUUUUCCAAAAUAUAAAUCAACCAAGAAUAUCACUAACUUUGAAAAUCUCUCAAAAAUUCAAUAUUGAUUCAAUUGACAUAAAAUCAAUGCCUUAAAAUAUCUCUUCAAAUUUUUUCUCAAAUUUUGUACUUAAAUCUACCAAAAAACCUUGAAUUUGCUGUAUAAGUGCAGUUUUAUGCCUUAGAAUUUGAUUUGAAUCUAGGUUAACAACUAGUCCUCUUAAGAAUUUAAUUUUUAGUAAUUUAAAGUAAGUUUUGUUUUAUCCUAUUUUCAAUACUCUUCUAGAUAUAUCUAUAUUAAUAUCUUAUCUCAUUUACUCUAAUUUGGCUCAUUUAUGCCUCUUCAAACUAAAUAAAAGUCCUCUCUACAAAAAAAACAACACUAAGACUAAAUCAUUUACCACCUUUUUAUCAUUUUUUCUUAUUUCUCUACUAUACUUUUUUGCUAGGACCUUUUAUAAUAACAUCCAUAUUUUUAUUGUUUUAUUUUAUAGUUGUAUUAUAACAUGAUAUUGUAAAAAUUCUUGCUCUCUUAUUAAAAAAUCAUUUUAGAAAAAAUGAAUGAAAAAAUGCCACAUAUGUUUGGAAUUUUAAGAUUAUAAUAUUAAAACACAACCAUGAUCCAUCUUCUAAUUCAUUUGCUCAUCAUAUUUAUCUUUAUGUCUUGGAAUUCUAUGAAAUGAUUAUUAAAGAAAUAUUUAAAAGAAGAAAAAAAUUCAAGAACAUCCAGAUACAUUUGCAAAACAUAAAAAAUAGAAUAGAUGUCUUAAAAGAAGUUAUUCUACUUGAAACCACAAUGAACAUAUAAAAUGUUGGAUAGAAAAACUCCUAUGGAUACUUGGAUAGAGAUCAUUUGAAGAUAGAGAUAUAUGAUUGAUUUAGAAUGGAUUGGAUAAGGUAACACUAUCCAUAUUGUCAAAGUAGAGAGAAUUUGCUUUAAGAAAGUGUUGGGCUUCUAGCUGUCACUAAUUGCUCAAUCAAGUCAUAAUAUAAAAAAAGACCAAGUUUAUAUAUAUAAUUAUUCCUAUAAGAGCAAUUACAUCAAUACAGAAGCCCUAAGUACCAAAGAUCAUCCAAAAUAUGAUAAAAAUAUUCUAAAACCUUAUAUAUCCUUAAGAUAUAAUCUUUUCAAACUUCAAUAAUUCAAAUCUUACAAUCGAACCCUCCAAAAAAAUCAAAAUUUUAUAUGAAGUAUUGAUAAACUUUCAACAAUUGCCAUAACAAAUUUCAACUGCAAAUUUAUUAUGAAUCUUAAAAAAUUUCCAAAAUUCUAAUAGUAGCUUCAAAUCCUUGCUUAUAUAUACCUAUGUGCAAUUUUUUUAUAUCUCACAAACUAAAAAUUUAAAUACUAUAAAAUUUUGAUAUAUAGAUUUUUAAUCUAAUAUAUACAUUUUUUAAAAUUUUGAGCCAAAUAUUCAUCUAAAUACUCAAGAUAUGGCUCCAAUCAUUAGUAUAAGAAAAAAAAUUCACUUAUUGCCUUUGAAUUACAUGUAUUGUCUUCAAUACUUUAUAACUCUUUCAUAUAAACUUCAAAGGCAAAAAUUCUUUUGCUUUUCUUUUAAUAAUUCUAUUAAUUUUAAAAGCAAAGCUUUAGGCACAAGUAUAAGCUUUAAAUCCCAUGAAACAUUUGAUAUUGUAGAGAUUAUCAUAGAUACUACAAUACUAGGAUCCACAUAUUUAAUCUCAUUAGGAGUUAAGGCAAAUGCCUUAUUAUGUUCAAUAAGCAUUUUGUCAAAAUAUAUUUUCCUCCAUUGAUGUCAAGAAAUCACCCCCUCCAAUCCUCAGCUUAACUAAUGAUUCUUGAAUAAAUUGAUAUCUAAUUUUACGCUUCUGUCUUAAACUUGGCUCAUUGAUUAUCUCCUUAAUAUAUUCUAUAGUAUCAAUUAAUAACUGCGUAGCUACAUGUUAUACCUUUCUUGCCACAAUUUUAUAUUUAAUUUAAACUUUGACCUCAUGUUUCAAUCCAUAGCUUGUGACAAAUCCACCAUUUUCUACCAUCUCUUUUAACUCUUCAUAAGUCCUUCUUGAGAGUGUUUCUAGUAUACCAUCUCUAUCCAUGUUUAUAGCUAAUUUUUUGAGUAUUUUUAUCAAAUCAUCUUCUAAACCUAUUUCUUCUAUUACUCUAACUAUGACUCAUCAUUUGAAACUAAAUCCGCUCUUUUUAAUUUUUUUUUUGUUUUUUUUUUAAUUAUUUAUUAAAUCUAAAUCUUUAAUUCUUUAAAUACUUACAAAUCCAUUACUAGUCAAGUUAAAAAAUCUAAAACUUAUAUUAUCUAUAUUUAAAUUUAUAGAUGAUUCAUUAGUAUCCAUGUCUCUCCAUUCUAUAAGGAUGCUCUCUAAAAAUCUACAAAGUUGUUUCUUGGCUCCAAAUGCAUCCUUCUUAAUUGUUUUUUGUUCCUUUCAUAGAUAGGUUUUAUAAUAAUAAAUUGCACAACUUUUCUUCCAAUCCAAUUACAAAUCUUGAUAUAAUGUGAACCAUCAUUCAAGAUUCUAGUCUCCAUCCUAAUAGAUGUAAUAUAAGAUUGAUCAAGUAUUACCUGAUAUAUAGUAGAAUUCUACACAAAGAAAUUUUAUUCAACUUCUAUAUCUCUAAUUUUAGUUUUUAUAGCUAGAUAAGUUCCAUAUAAAUCACCUUGUUGGUUGUUUGUAGCUCUAAUUAUCCAACCAUGGUUAAUAUCAAUUGGCUAGUUAUUCUUCUUAUAUAUUUGCCUUAACAUGAUGUUGAUUUCAGAUCCAUGAUUAUCUAAGGCCAAAAUUGGAUCUUUAGAAUCUUUCAAUCUCACAUAUAUCUCUAUAGUAGCUCUUGCUUUAUAAAGAAUUAAAUAGCUAUUACUUUUAAUUCCAUCAUUAUCACAUUUAGAGCAAGUAUUUAUAUAUGUUUCUUAUACAAUCUUCUUUAUUUCUAUAGAUGUCAAAGAUGUGGAUUCUCUUUGAUACUUUUUUAGAAUCUGAAUAUAUUUAAAUAGAGCCUCAUAUCUUAUAGCAACAUUACUUUUAGUUUUUGGCAUUACAAAUUAUCUAAAUACCUAUCUUAUUUCUUUUUUUUCAUCCAUAGUUACCCGUGAAUCCAAUGCCUCUACCAUAAUAGCUUCAACUCUCAUUUGUCUCUUCCUCUUUAUCACAUUGAUAAUCAACUCAUGAAAAUCCUUCUUAGCUAUAUUAAUAACAUCUUUCAGAGUGAAUUCAAUUUAGGUAUCUAAGAUCUUCUCCUCUAAAAUACUUUUUAUAUCUAUAGAUGGGUCAAUGUCAGAUUGAAUCUUGUAAGUAGGAUUCUUAUCUUUAAAUUUCCUUUUAUCAGCUUUUUCCUUCUCUUUGUCCUUCUUCUACCACUCUUUUGGUAAUAAUGUACCACUACAAUGAGUAAAAGAAGGCAUCUUCUUUGAUUUCUACUCUUUAAAAGCUUCUUUAUUCUUUAAAGACUUCUUUUUACUUUCAAUCUCAACAACAUCUUUCUCAUGAAUAGCUCUAUUUUUUUCUUCAACUAUAGCAUCAUGCAAAUCAUGAUCACAUUUUUUUUCAUAUAAAAAUACUUUAAUGCUAAUAGCAUCAACUAAAUUCUUUCAUUUAUUUAUUCUUUUGAUAGUUUCAACUCCCUUAAUCAUAGCUUUUGUAGUUGGUAAGGAAUUAGCCUAAAUUAUUUUUUUCUCAAUUGUAAUAGAAUAAGAUUCAACUCUUUUCUCUUCAAUGGCAUUAUUCUUUGGUGUUUGUUCUUCCACCGAUUUUUUUAUGCCAUCAUUUUCAAAAUUAGUUUUCAAAGGCUAAUCUAACCUUGUGAGUCUUAUCCUACCUUCUUUGAAAUAUAUAAUAUCAUCCUUGAUUGCAUUGUUAUAAUUAUUGUACUCACUAUGCUUAUAGUUUGGAUUAUCACACUACAUACAUGUUUCUACAAAUUCUUUUGAGCCUUCAAUUUUCUUUCAUAAGCUUCUUAUGUGGAAUUUCUUUAACUCAGUCAUUUCUACCUGCAAAUCUUAUAUGCUUUUGAUUAAUUCUUGAAGAAUGUCAUCAUUGACAAUCUCGCUCAAAUUUUAAAGUGGCAUUAGAUUUUAAAUUGUAGAUAUUGGCUCUAACUUUGAUAUUAAACCAUAAGUCUUAAUCUUUUGUUGCUUAGCCAAAAGUCCUAUUGUCUCUUUUAUUAAAUUCUAAUUAUAAUUAAAACCACUCUUAGAUAUCUUGUUUGCUAGAUAAAAGAAUAGCUUAUCUUCCAAGUUUUCAUCAAUUGCUUGCAAGAAUAAUCCAUAUUUUUUUGUUUCUAAAAUUUGCCUCUCUUUCCAUAGCAAUUGUUCAAACUUAGUUUCAAAUUCCUUGAUUAAUUCAUUUGGAGCCAUUUGAUUCUCUAGCCUUUACUCAAUGCACUUCAAAAAGUCUAUUUAGUCAUUUUCUCUAAGUAUUCUUCAAAAAAUUUAUCUUUCAAGAAUUUUUUAAAUUUCUUCUAUGAUGUAGCCAUAAUAUACAGAUCUUGUAUUUUUUUUUUUUAAUUUCUAGUAUUAUUGCCAAAUCAAAGGUGGUAAUCAUCUUGAUUUUUGAAACUUGAUGCACAUCCAUUUCACAUGUGUAAAUCUUUAAGAACUUAUUGAUAUUCCUUCUAUCAAACCUUUCAACCUUAUCUACUACUUGUAAAGCUUUGGUGGUAUUCCUAUCUUUUCCAUGCAUAUGUUGCUUCUCUUCUAUAAAUUGAAUAAAUUUCAAGGACAUGAAUCUCAAAGGAAGAAAAUCCUUAAUAUAUUCUUGUGUUACUCAAGAAAACUAGAAAGUUAUUCAAAGAUGAUAUAAUAUUAAACCAAAAUAGCUAUUGUCAAAAAUAAGAAUACUAAAACAUCUUAAAACAAGACUAAAGAAUAAAAAAUUAUUGAUAAGAAUGAAGAAGGCUUCACUCUUACCUCCAUACAUACUCUUAACUAAGAGCUAAGCUUUUAAUAAGCUUCUCUAAAAGAUCUUAUGAAAUUAACCUAUUUUUAUCUAAUUUUAUCUAUUCUUACCUAAUCAUAUAGGUAUUUAUUAGAAUAUCUAUGUAUAUUCAUGACAUUAUCUCCCUUUCUAGAAAUAAGUUCCAUGAAGAGUGAUCUCCAUAUGUUGAGAAAAUCCAAGAUGAGGUGAAUUAUAUUUGCCACAUAUUCCGAUCUUUGCUCUCUUUAAAGAUGGUUGAUAGGCCCUCUCAUCCAUCGAUAGUGUUCUAUACCAAGAUAAGAAGACCACCUUGUUACUUAAUCCAUAUUAAAGCCUUCAUAACUUCCUUCAAAUAAAAUAUUUGGAACACUAUUAGGAGUUAUUUUUACUUCUAAUAAAAUCAUCAAACAUGUAGAGUCUCUUCCAAGGUCAUGAUAGCAAACACAUUGUAUCUAGCCAUCUAUUCAAAGAAGGACAUGUUAUUCAUGAGGAUCUUUAUCUCAAUUUCAUCAUCUUGAAGGUUGUGACAAUUGCAAUGUCUUGUCUCAUAAGUCUGCAAAUAAAAGCUUUUGAGUUGAAUCUGUUGGUUGUUGGUUCUCCAUCUCCUUAACUACACAGAAGCUACAAAGAAAGAUAAAAAAUAAAGUGUUAUCUUCUUUUGAUCUUAUUUCUUUUAUAAAAAAGAUUUGCUAUUUUUUAUCUUAGUUUUAAUGGAUGUCGUUGAUGAAAGGCUUCAACUCCCUUUGUUGCAUUUGCAAGAUUCUUUGUUGGCUCCUAUGUACAUUCAUUAAUAUCAUAUUCAUGCCAAUGAAUAAGAUAUUCCAACCUAUUUUGACACCGCAUUGAGUCUAAGACUUCUUCCACCUUGAGCUCUUGAUUAUUAUCCACUUCUAUAAGAGGAGGUGGCAUUUGUUUUCUUUCCAAAAUAUUCAUUGUCUUAUACAGCUCAAGAAGAGAUAUAUGAAAUAUAAGAUAGAUCUUCACAGACUCCGAUAGAUGUAAUUGAAAAGCAACAUCAUUGUUUUGUUCACAAAUAGAAAAAGGUCCUAACUUAUAAUAGUUUAACUUAUCUCAAGGACAAGUAGUCUUAAUGUUGCGAUGAAGUAACCAUAUCUUGAAUUGUGCUUACUCCUUACGAUAGGCAUCCACCUUGGUCUUUUGUCAUUCUUUAGCUUUCUUUAAUUGUGUCUUCAUUAUUGUAUAUAGCUGUGAUAAAUAAUUUAUUAAAUCUUGUGCUGCAAGAUUAUGAAUUUUUGAAAAGUCAAAAGUAUCAAGUUGUGGAUGAUAACCAUAAUUGGCUUAGAAAGAUGUUUGUUGAGUAGAAGAAUAUACCAAAUUAUUGUAUGUAAAUUUUGCCAAUGGCAAAAGAAUUUUCUAAUCAUCUUGAUGAUAGUGGACGGUAUACCUCAAAUAUUAUUCUAAAACUUGAUUCAUCCAUUCUAUUUGUCUAUCAAUUUUAGGAUGAAAAGUCAAAGAGAGCUUUAUAUCCACCUUUAGAAUCUUGAAUAGGAUUGUCUAAAAUCUUGAUACAAAUUGAGUCUUCCUAUCUGAUAUAAUAUCCUUUGAGAAUCUAUGAUUGCGACAAAUAUUGUCAAUAAAAAUCUCAAAUGUUUCUUCACAAGAAAUAGAUUUUGUACAUAAUAUAAAAUAUUCCAUUUUAAUGAAGUAAUCUAUGAUCACAAAUAUAGAAUUAUAUGAACUUGAAUUCAGAAGAUUUUUAAUAAAAUCCAUAGAAAUAAAAGAUUAUGGUUGUUCAAAUAUAGGCAAUGGUUGGAGAAGUCCAUAAGAUUGAUGAAAAGGAGUUUUUGAUCUUGAAUAAACGUCACAUAAUUGGACAAAGUUUUUUAUCACCUUCCACAUUUGCAACCACCAAAAAUAUUUGGAUAUAAGCUCUAAAGUCUUAUUAUAUCUAAAAUAUCAUAUUAUUAAAAAGUCAUGAUGUACUUGAAGAAUAAAUAAAUGUGCUUCUCCUUUUAAAAUAUAUAGGCGUUGUUUAAAAUAGAGUAAGUUUUUCUUGAAAUCAAACUUUAAAACAUCAUGAGACUUAGAAAAAAGAUUCUUAAUAUCAUAAACAAGAACAACAAAGGACAAACUUGAUUGAAUUUAUUUGACAAAGGUCAAAUCAACAAUCAAUGUUUAUUUCAUUGCUCAAAGAUGAAAAUAUUCUAGUGCUAAGAGGAUUGUUCCUUAUUGAUCAAAAGAUAUGUCUCCUUCUUUUGGUACAAGAUAAGAUUAUUUAAAUAGAGCAUUUGAUAAAUCUUUUUUAUUUUUCAAGUCGAUAUGUGAUCUUGAAAUCAAAUCUUGAUAAUGACAUGCUUCAAGAGGCUUGGCAACAAUUCAAAACAUGUGUCAACAUGAAAUACUUAAGGUUCUUGUGAUAUGUAUAUACUGUAACUAAACUUGAGGUGCCUUCUAGUUAAUGAUGCCAUUCUUAAAAUGAAUCCACAAUUGAAAAAAGUUCUUUCUCAUGGAUCUCAUAGUUAAUCUCGAGUGCUGAAAAUUUCAUGGAAUAGAAAGCUACUGGAUGGAAUUUGUCAUCUGUUUCCAUUUGUGACAAUAUUAUAUCCAAGGCAAAGUCUGAUGCAUUUGUUUCCAUAAAGAAUGCCUUAGAAAAGUUGACAUGCUACAAAGUUGGUGAAGAAGUAAAUUCCUUCUUCAAAGCAACAAACAAUGCUUCGACUUCUUUAUUCCACUCAAGUUUGUCUUUAUAAGUCAAAUGUGUUAGUAAAGCUAUUACUUGAGAAAAAUUCUUAAUAAAGAUUCAAUAAUAAUUGACAAAGUCCAAAUAGCAUUGCACAUCUCUUACUGCUCUUGAGAUCUUUCAAUCUAUGAUAAUUUGGACCUUCUUUGGAUCCAUCAUAAGGCCUUUAUUAGAAAUGAUGUAUCUCAAAAAUUCAACUUGAGUAGUGUGGAAUACACACUUUUUCAUCUUUGCAUAUACUCAUGUAUCUUUUAGUUUUUGUAAUAUAUGAUGAACAUAAACUUCAUGCUCUUUUGUAUUCUUAGAAUAGAUUAAAAUAUCAUCUAAAUAAUAGAUGACAAAAUCAUGAAAAAACUUACAAAAGAAAUCAUUCAUUAGAUAUUGAAAAGCAAGUGGUGCAUUCAUGAGUCCAAAAAGUAUGACAUUAUAUUCAAAAUGUCCAUACCUAGUUCAAAAAACAGUCUUCAAUUCAUCUCCUUCUUUGAUGCAGACCAAAUUAUAUGCUCUUUGUAGAUCUAUUUUUGUAUAGAUCUUUGGUUGAUUUAGUUGAUGAAGAAGUCCUAAAAUCAAAAGUAGAAGGUAUAUGUUCUUGGUGUUGAAUUUGUUGAGUCCCUGAUAAUCAACACAUCCGUUGAAAGCCAUCUUUUUUCUUCUAAAAUAAGAUAAAAGUACUUAUUGGAAAUUUAAAAUGGUAUAUAAAGUUCUUAGCCAAGUUCUUCUCAAUGUAUUCCUUGAGUAUAGCCAACUCAUUUUGUGAUAGGCUAUAGAUUGGUCCAAAUGAUGGUUAGAUUUGUUCUUGAAGAUUAAUGGAACAAUCAUAAGGACAAUGCUCUAGAAUUUUUUUUGUAUUCUUCUUUUUAAAAACAUCCUGAAAAUCUUGAUACUGGCUAGGAAUACCACUUGAUAUCUUAUCACCAUGAAAAUGGAGGUGGCACAUAUAGCAAAAGAUGGCUAUUUAUUUGCAGCAUAUAUGAAAGCUUUCGCAUCUACUAAUAAGGGUUUAGAUAUACUAAACUUAUGGAUUUCUACUUGCCUAACAGGAUCUUGGGCUAAACUAUGGAAAAAAUCGAGAUUGCAAGAGAUCCAAUUUAUCUGAGGGUUUUAUCUUUCUAACCACGAUAGUCCUAAAUUAAUUGGAUUAGGAGGAGAUUUAAUUACAUUAAAUAUUGCUAAACUAUUGUGACCACUAAUUGUUACUUCUACAAGAAUGGUUUCAUAUAUAACAUCCCCAGAAGAUAAUGAACAUCCAUCUAUUACUUCUAGAUGCACAUGUUUGAUUUUCUUAAAUAAGGAUAUAUCUUAUUUUUUGACAAAGUCUUCAUCUAUAAAAUAAGUUGAGGCUCCUAAAUCCAACAAAGCUAAGACUUUGUGGUAUUUUGGUCAUAAAUAAAUUUCUAUUCUAAAAUAAGGUGAGGGAUCAAAAGAGACAAUAGGAUCUUUGCUAGAUGUUGCAUAUGAUUUCAACUGCAGAGUCUCUAUUGUAAUUAGAACAACUUAUUUUUUGACACAUUGUCUUCUUUGGCAAUUGUGCUUUUUUAUUUUGUAAUUAUAAUAUUUCUUUGGAUAAUAUUUAGUAGUAUGUUUAGAUGCUCCACAAUAUAAGCACAAGCCCUCUUAAUGUCAUUGACUAUUUUUUUGCUCUAUAAAAGAUUUUAAAUGUACCGUAUCACUUUGCAUUACUUCUCACUUUGAUAAAUAAGUUUCUAAAAACUUGGGAGCUUCCAUCAUUAUUUGAUUUGUUCUUCUCUAGCCAUAUCUUUGUUCUUGAUGUCUUUCAAAUAAUCAAUUGUCACAUGCAAUGGCUUGAGCAAUAAAUUAUUUCAAAGAUUUUGUCGUUGAUAUUGUCAAUAAAAAGUCUUUGAUAUUAUCUUUCAAUCCAUAUUGAAAUUCAUUGAUAAGUUCUUUAUCAUUCCAAUCCACAUCACAAGCAAGGUUUUGGAAUUUAAUAGCAUAUAUGGUAGCUGAUCGUGAUCCUUGCUGUAAAGAUAAAUGCUUGGUCUUUGCUACUCUUUUUUGAUCACUUUAUCCAAAUUUGGCCAUAAACCCUUCUAAGAAUGAAUUCAAAUCAUAAAAGAGUCUCAAAUCUUUUUCCAUUAAAUAUACAAAUUAAGAGAGACGACUUCUUAAUAGAAAUGUACUUAUAAAUUUGACUUGAAUAAAUCCAUUGAGAUAUUAGAAAAGGUGCAAUUUUAGAUAAAACUUGACCAAUUAUAAAAAUCCUUGAAAUUUUGAUCUUGUUCCAUCAAACUUCUUAGGCAUACUAAUCCUUGUCUCCAUCAUACUUGUAAAAGCAAAAUUCCUUGGAUUUAAUUGUCAAGUCGAUCUACUUACUUCUUUCAACUGCACAAUUUCUUGCUGCAGACUCUGAACUUCUUCCAUAGUUGUAAGCAUAGUACCUCCAUGAUUCACAUUAGAAAUACGUAAGAUUUCUACUUUUAGAGUGUUGACAAGCUCAUGAAGAUCUAUAAUAAUUGUAAAUCUCUUCUCACUUUGACUAAGAAUAGCAUUCAUAAUCUUUCCUUCCAUAGACAACUCAAAAAAAUCCAAAAUAUUAAAUUAGAGGAAGGUAAUCUACAACUUCUAAUAAAAAUUUCCACAAAGAAGGAUAAUCCACUGUCUUUAAGAAAAUGAUCAGUAUUAGAAAACAAGAUUUUUUGUCUAAAGGUGAAUAACUAGCAACCUUCAAAAUAUAACAAUAGAAGUGGAAUAAUUCACUCACUUCUAAAACAAGAUAAAAAUAAUAUAUUAGCACUCUUGUCAAACUAUCAAAGACAUGAAUCUCAAAAAAAAAAAAAAAUACUCAAUACACUCUUGUGUCACUGAAGAGAACUAGAAAGUCACUCAAAAGAUGAUAUAAUAUUAAACUAUAAUGACUAUUAUCAAAAAUAAAAAGACUAGAAAGUCUUGAAACAAGACUGAAGUCUAGAAAGGCAUUGACAAGUGUAAAGAAGGCUUUACUCUUGCCUCCAUAUAUACUCUUAACUAGGAGCUACAUGGCGUUGUUCUAUAGGACCUCUAUACAUGUUGACUUUAUAAGACACGUAUCUUAACUUAUAAGAUAAAUUUUCUAUAUGUGUACUACAUAGUUAACUUGUUCCACAAGCUAUCAAUACAUGAUUAUCUUAUUGACAAAGUUUUUAACCAAUCAACUACAAACACAUGUAAAGUCAAGUAACAUCUAUGAAUCUUUUAGGAAGCUUCUCUUAAAGAUCUUGUAAAAUUAACCUACUUUUAUCUACUUUUACUUAUUCCUACCAUGGUCAUACAAAAUUUGUAGCAUAUUAGCCUAUGAUGCAAUUACUUUCUUAAGCAUCUACAUUCAAGGAGAUAGUGGCUUUUAUACCUUAACAAAGAAAUUCACCUAUUUAACAACGUGAAGAAUCUUAGAUUAAUCUUUCAAAAAAAUUUGAUGGCACAUGCUCAAAAUUUUGAAGGUUUUUUAACUAAAUUUUAUUGGUAACUUUUCUAGAACUUAAGUGCUAUCCAAUAAAAGAUUUGCAAGUUGAUUGAGUUAGAACCUUAUUUACAUCACAAGCCUUUUUUUUAUUUGCUUCUUUAUUUGAAAAGAGGUCUCCAAUCUUGAAUGAUUUUGAAGCUUUUUUAUAAGCAUUCGUAGAGGUAUUUGAAAAAUAUGAUAAGACCUAAUUAAGAACAAUAAAGAUUUACUCAUUACAUCAAGGGUUAUAUUCUACAUCAAUUUAUGUAUUUGAUUUUAAGCAAUUGACUUGUGAUAUCAAUUUAAUUGAAUAAGCUCGUAUGAACCAAUUUUAUUGGAAAUUAAGAAAUGAUGUGAAUAACCUAUCACUAUCAUUAUUUGAUUCUCAAAUACUUAAUGAAGCUAUUAACCAAGCUAUGAAGUGCGAUAAUCAAUUAUUUCAAUGCUAUCAAGAUCAACAGUUGUAGACUUUAACAAAGUAAUGCACUAAAAAUUUGUAUUCUACUACUUCAAUAAAUAUAUUAUUUCUAAACUCUAAAGCUGAAGAUAUACAAAUUAAUGCAAGAUUAUUCAAAAUCUUUAGAAUAAAAGAAAAGAAAUGUCAAUUUGAACAACAUUUAUGCUUGUAUUUUGGUGAAGAAGGCCACAAAUCUGAAAACUAUCCAAAAAAAAUAACAUACAACCAAGACUAGGAGUGCAAUCAUUUAAGAAAACAAGGAGGCUUAGCGACAAUAAGGACCAUGCAGCUAAAAUUUCUAACACUUUAAAUUUAUGAAGGUCCCUCUAUCUUUGUACAACUUCUUUGUUUUACUAUACAUUUAUUUCAUAGAUCAUAAAGACUUCAAAAAAAUACCUUAUUAGAUUCAAGAGCAUUUGCUUGCUUUUUAGAUGAAGAAUUUUUUAACUUCCUAAAAUUCCUUUAGUACAAAAGUCAAGAUAUGCAUAUGUAGAAGUAAUGGAUGGUCGACUUUUAUCUUCAAGCAAUAUUACUUAUGAGACUAUAUUACUAAAAUUAUUAUUUAAGUGCUAUAUUAAUAAAAAUAAUAUAUUAUAUUAUUAAAAUUCUAUCUAAUCCUAUCAUUCUAUGACUUUUGUGGUUAGAAAGAUAUAAUCCAUUUAUAAAUUGGAGAUUUCAUAAGAAUGAAUUUUCUAUAGAAAUUUUUUAGGCAAAACCUAUCAAAAAGUCAUCAACAAUAAAGUCUUUAUUUCUUGGAACAAAGACUUUUAUGAAGAUAUCUAAGAAAGAAAUAUCAUUUUUAAUUUAUGCAACUCCAGCUUGUGAAGAAGCAAGCUUACUAUUAUUUAUCUUAGAGCAAUAUAAAAAAUUAUAAGAUGUCUUCAAAAAAAUAAAUGUUAACAUAUUUCCAAAGCAUCAAUUAUAUGAUUGUACCAUUGAUCUUCAAGAAGGGGCUCAACCACUAUUUGGAUUAAUCUACAACCUAUCAUAAAACAAGCUUUUGGCAUUAAAGGAUUACAUUGAAAAAAAAUCUUGCAAAGAACUUUAUUUGACAUUCUAAAUCUUUAAUAUGUGCAUCAAUACUUUUUGUGAAGAAAAAAGAUGGAUCUUUGCAAAUGUGUGUUGAUUAUUGUGGCCUCAACAAAAGAAUGGUGAAGAAUCAUUAUCCAUUAUUAUUUAUUUCAAGGCUUUUAGAGUAAUUCGAUCAAGCUAAGAUCUAUACUAAAAUAGAUCUCCACAGAACAUAUAAUUUGGUACAAAUUUUAAAAAAAAAAUGAAUGGAAGAUAAUAUUUUGGACAAGAUACAAAUAUUUUGAAUAUAAUUUCAUGCCUUUUGAAUUGACAAAUAUUCCAACUAUAUUCUAGAAUUUUAUGAAUGAGGCUUUUUGAGAAUUUUCAAACAAAUUUAUUGUGUGCUAUCUUGAUGAGAUUUUUAAUCUACUGUAGGACUCUUGAAGAAUAUAAAGAACAUUUGAGAUUAGUCUUAGAAAAGUUAUAAAAUAAGGGAUUAUAAGCCAAAUUGGAGAAAUGUGUAUUCCAUUAGCCAAAAGUAGAUUUUUUUGGAUAUAUUAUGUCUAAUAAAGACAUGUUGAUUGAUUUGAAGAAAAUUUAAGCUAUAAUUGAAUGAAAAAUUCUAAAUAUAGUAUAAAAUAUAUAAUAUUUUUAAAAAUUUAUAAAUUUCUAUCAGAUAUUUAUCAAAAAUUACUCCCAAGUUGCUACUCUUCUCACUUGAUUGACAUCCAAAGAUAAAUUAAAAUUGGGACUUCAAAUAAAAAGGGCUUUUUAAGUUUUGAAGGCAGCUUUUAUUAUAGCUUCAAUCUUAUUACAUCCAAAUUUCAUGAAAGCCUUUUAUUUUAAGAUUGAUGCGCCUAACUUUGUAUUCGAAGUUGUAACAACAUAAAUAGAAAAAAACAGAAAGCUCCAUCCAAUUAUAUUUUAUUUUAGAAAGUUUUUAAUUACAAAGAUUAAUUAUGAAAUUUACAAUAAAGAAUUUCUUGUAAUUCUAGAUUCUUUUCAAGAAUGGUGUCACUUAAUGGAAAGUACUAAAAUUAUUUAUAUAGAUAUAUGUUGUGUAUCCAGAUCACAAAAAUUUGAAAUAUUUCAUACCAACUUGAAUUUUGAAUCUCCACCAAGUUCAUUGAAAUAUGUCUUUAUAUUGUUUUGAUUUUAUAACUAUAUAUCAACUACAAAAAAAACAAUGACUAUCAAAUGCUUUACUAAAGAAAUCAUAUCUUGCUCUAAAGAUUGGAGAAGUAGCAUUUGAUCAGCAAUAUACCACUCUUUUGAAGCCAAAACUAUGUUGUCUUUGUAUUGCUUCUAUGAUUACAUCUAUUGAUUCAAGUUUUUUUUGAAUAAAUUUGUACAACAUUAGCUAAAAACUCAUUACUUUGUAAUAUUAACCAGAGCCUUGACAACAAUAACUUUAAGAUCAUAGAAGAUCUUUUGUAUUUAAAGAUUGUUUAUAUAUUUCAGUAUCACAGACAUACUCAUGUAAGUUAGUAAUUACAUAUAUAAAUAAGUAGAAGUAAGUAAAAAUAAAUAAAAAUAAGUUAAUUCUAUAGUAUUUGAUAUGAAAGCUUUCUAGAAGCUUCAUAGACACUGCUUUGAUUUCAUAGAUGUCUUUAAUUGACUUUUUGGAUUAGAAAUGUGGUCAACAAGUUGGCCAUAUGCCACACAUGUUGUUAGCUUGAAGACCAAGCUAACUAUGUGGCCCACACGUAGAAAAACUUGCCUUGUAAGUCAAGGCAUGUGUCCUACAAAGUCAACACAAAUUGGAGGUCCUAUAGAAUGUCGCCAUGGAGCCUCUAGCUAGAUAGUAUAUAUAGAGACAAGAGUGAAGCCUUCUUCACUCUUGUCAACUCCUUUCUUAUCUCUAGUCUAGUUUCAAGAGUUGUCAUAUUUUCUAGUCUUUGGCAAUAGCCAUUCUAGUUCAAUAUAUUAUCACCUUUGAGUGAUUUCUAAGUAUUUUCAAGUGACACAAGAGUGUAUUGAGAUUAUCUUUCUUUGGAGUUCAUAUCCUUGAUAUUCAGAAGGAUUGAUGCAACUUUAUGUUCUUCAAUCUCGUCAUAAUUUUAUAAGUGUAGGGCAUUUUAAAUUUAACAAAAUAUUAGAACUUAUUUCUUGAGAUUUUUGGUGGCUUCAAAUGUGAAAUACUUUGAAGGACUUUGUCUUUUUGUAUGACAUUUAUUGAAGAUUUAAGAAUUUUUGAUAUUAUCCUUAUAGACUUCUUAUCAAAGACAAGGUUUCAAUGAAAGAAAAUAACCAAGUGAGACUUUUUUCAAAGAAUUAUGAUAAAAUAUAUAUAUAUAAAAGAAACUAAAAUUAAUAUUAUUAAAAGAUAAAAAAUUAAAGAUUCUUGAAUCUAAAUUAGAGCAAAAAAAAUUGAUAAGAGUAAAAAAAAAUACUUCACUCUUGCCUCUAUAUAUACUAUCCACUUAGGAAUUAUGUGGCGACAUUCUAUAGAACCUCUAAUAUGUGUUGACUUUACAAGCUACAUGUCUUAACUUACAAAGCAAGUUUUCUAUGUAUGCACUAUAUAGUUAGCUUGUUCCACAAGCUAUUCACAUGUAUAACACAAGGUUAACUUGUUGACCAAGUUUUUAACUUAAAAGUCAACUAUACAUGUAUAAAGUCAAAACCGUGUCUAUGAAGCUUCUAAGAAGCUCUUCUAGAAGAUAUUAUAAAAUUAAAUUAUUUUUUUUUAAUUUUAUCUACUUCUAUCUAAUCAUAGAAGUAAUGAUUAUAAUAAGUAUGUAUGUCCCUGACAAUAUAUCCAUGAUACUUCUAUAGCCACUAUCAAUUUCAAAGCCAUAAUGGUUUUUAAUAUCAAUGGAUUUCAUCAUUGAUAUAUUGCCCUCAAUUACAUUUAAUGCCAUCUAAAUUGUUGUGGAUUGAUUUACAGAGAUGGCAUAUUUUUUCUUUAUAAAAAGAUAAUUUUUUUAAAAAUAAUAAUAAGGAUUUUUUUAGACAAUAUAUAUUAAUAUCAUGGACUACCUGAUGAUAUCAUUUUUUAUUAAAGAUGUCAAUUUAUAUCAAUGUUUUAGAAAUUACCUUUUGAGAUAUUGAAGGUAGAUAUCAAACUUUCUUUUGUCUUCUACCUUCAAAUUAAUGCUGAAAUAUAACAAGUUAUUCAAAUUUUAGAAUAGUAUUUGUAAUAUACCAUCAAUUAUUGACAAGAUGAUUAAAUCUCAUAUUGUCAAGAACAAGAACUUGAUAAAAACAAAUAAACAAGUAAAACUUUUUUCAAAGAAAGGUGACAAAAUAGAAAUAACUAUAUAUAUAUAUAUAUAUAUAUAUAUAUAUUAAAAAAGAAACUACAUUAGCUAUUACCAAAAGAUAAAAAAAUUAGAGACCCUUGAAACUAGAUUAGAAGCAAGAAAGAAGUUGACAAGGGUGAAGAAGGCUUCAUCCUUGCCUCUAUAUAUACUAUGUACUUAAGAACUAUGUGACGACAUUCUAUAGGACCUCCAAAAAUGUGUUGACUUUACACAACAUGUAUCUUAACUUACAAGGCAAGUUUUCUAUGUAUAUACUGAAUAGCUAGCUUAUUCAGUAAGCUACCAACAUGUAUGGCAUGUGGUUAACUUGCUGACCAAGUUUCUAACCUACCAAUCAAGUAUAAAUACAUAUAAACUCAAAGCAGCACCUAUGAAGCUUUUCUAGAAGAUAUUAUGAAAUUAAUCUAUUUUUAUCUAAUUUUAUCUAUUUAUAUCACCUAGAUAAUAAUUAUAGUAAAAAAAUAUUUGUGAUAUUACUUCCCUUUCUAGCGACGAGUUCCACGAGGAGCGAUGAUCACAUAUUGAGGAAGUCUAAGAUGUCGCAAAUUGUAUUUGUGACAUACUCUAAUCUUUGUUCUUUUCAAAGAUGAUUGAUAGGACCUUUCAACCAUCGAUAGUAUCUCACACCAAGGCAGAAAGAUGUCACAGACAUAUAUUUACUGUAAUUAUUAUCUAUGUGAUAUGAAUAGGUAGAAAUAAAUAAAAAUAGAAUAAUUUCAUAAUAUCUUCUAGAAAAGCUUCCAAGAAGCCUCAUAGAUGUUACUUUGACUUUACAUGUGUUUAUACUUAAUUGAUAGAUUAGAAACUUGGUCAACAAGUUAACCACGGACCACACAUGUUCAUAGCUUUUAGAACAAGCUAACUAUGUGGCGUCCACAUAGAAAACUUGCCCUGUAAGUUAAGAUACGUGUUGUGCAAAGUCAACAUAUUUUUGGAGGUCCUAUAGAACAUCCCCAUGUAGCUCCUAGAUAGAUAGAAUAUAUAGAAGCAAGAAUGAAGCCUUCUUCACUCUUGUCAAUUCUUUUCUUGCUUCUAGUGUAGUUUCAAGGAUUUCUAGUUUUCUUGUCUUUUGGCAAUAGCUAUUUUAGUUUCUUUCUUAAUAUACAUAUUGAAUUAUUUUUAUUUUGUCAUCUUUCUUUGAAAAAAGUCUCACUUGUUUAUUUAUUUUUAUCAAGUUCUUGUCCUUGAAAAAUUGACAAGAGUGCACUUACAAUAUUAGAGCUUUGUCUAAUCUUGAUUAAGAGUGGAUUAUUCAUUUCUCUUAAUAAGACAUAAGCGUAUUAGAAGUUGCGGAUUACCCUCUUCUAAACUGAUAUUGUUCGUAGUAUUUUCUUUGUUCUCAAGUCCUCUCUUCUAUUUGUCUUGAGUGAUAUUAGACAUCUUUUCUUUUGUAAGUGUUAUUAUGGCAGAACUUACUGAAAUGAAGAGUACAAUAGCACAAAUGCAAGAGCAAUUGAGGAAGUUAAUGCUUACAAUGCAGCAAUUCAAUUUACCACCACAAGGAGCAACAAGAUUGGCAGGAAGUGAAGAUAUAGAAAUGAUUGGAGCUGCUUCAAUAUCUACACCAAAUUAUGUCCCUUCUCUUAUAGUGGAAUGCCCUUCUAGUCUUAAAGAACCUAAAAUUGUCUUACUCAAGAAGUUUGAUUGCACUAGAGUAAAGUUUAGAGGAUUUAUAAAUCAAGUAUAACUUGUGAUUGAACUUCAACCCGAAAGCUAUCCAACUCCAUGAUUGCAAGUUAGAUUCAUUGAUAUGCUUCAAAUUCAGCAUUAUCAUGGUUUUUAUCUUUUUUUGAAUGACAAAAUCCAAUAUUGGAUAAUCUUGAGGUAUUUUUUGGCAGAGUUUCGAUCCAUGUAUAGAGAACAUGAUGCAAUUUGUAUUGCAACCAACAAGAUCCGUACUUUGUAACAAGACAAUCGAUCAAUAACAUUAUACGCUUCACAGUUUUGACAACUUACAACUGAUAUCAAGUGGGAUGAUGCAGCACUUGUUAGCCAAUUUCUCUACGAAUUACAAUAUGAGGUAAAAAAAUUAAUGCUCAACUUACCUGAUCCUCAAAUAUUGAAUCAAGAAAUUGACUUUGCUGUGAAGUGCGACAAUCAUCUUUCUGAAUUUUCAUUUGAGAACCAUAAAAAUAGACCUUAAUAUUACUAUAAUUCAAUGGCAACACCAACAUCUCUCCAACUCAUACAUUCGGAAGUAGAGGAUAUGCAAAUUGAUGCGGUACAUUUCAAACCUCUUACUAAGCAAAAAAAGACUCGUCAUUGUUAGGAAGGAUUGUGCUUAUAUUGUAGAGAACCUAAGCACAUUACUCAACAUUAUCCAAAGAAGUGAUCCAAUCAUAAAAUAAGGAGUACGGCUAUCAAAGAAGAUAGUAUCUCCAAAAAUGAGUUUAUCCAACUAUAAUAGGGACCGUGCGAUUGGAACCUUGUACAAUACCUAGUGUAGGUCUUAGUCUCUACUCUAAAUCCUCUCUUUGUUUUACGAUAAAUGUUAUUCUAGGACCUAAAUAUCACAAAGCCUAUGCCUUCUUAGAUUCACGAGUCUCAACAUGUUUCUUAGAUGAAGAAUAUGCUAAAAGACAUAGCAUACUUUUAAUAAAGAAAACUAAACUUGUUCAUGUAGAAGUCAUAGAUGGUCAUCCAUUGUCUUCAAAAGAUAUUACUCAUGAAAUCCUUCCUAUAGAAGUAGCAAGUAAUGGUCAUAGUAGCUUUGUAAUAUUUAAUAUCAUUAGAUCUCCUUCUAAUCCAGUCAUUUUAGGUUUAUCAUGACUAGAAAAAUAUAAUCCUGAAAUAGACUAGAUUUCUCGUAGUCUUGACUUUUUUGAAAGUAUAACUAAGAGCAUAGUUUAUCAAGUAGAAAGUCAUAAGUCUAGUACAAUUAAACUUGUAAUUGUAGGUGCAAGAUCUUUCUUGCAUGAUGCAAAAGAAGGAUCACCUUCUGUCAUUUGUGCCACAUCUGUUUCUACUAAUGGAAAGACUUCAAGUGGCAUUCUAAGCCAAUAUCAAGAUUUUCAAGAUGUAUUUGAGAAGAAAAAUGCAGAUACUCUUUCGGAACAUCAUUCCUAUGACUACUCAAUUGACCUUCAAGAAGGAGCACAAUCGCCAUUUAGACCAAUCUAUAAUUUAUCUCAAAAUGAAUUGGCUGAAUUCAAGGAGUAUAUUGAAGAGAAUCUGGCCAAGAACUUCAUACGCCAUUCCAAAUCUCCAACAAGAGAUCCAAUUUUAUUUGUGAAAAAAAAAAGAUAGAUUAUUACGGAUAUGUGUCGAUUAUCGAGGACUCAACAAAAUCACCAUUAAAAUUAGGUACCUGCUACCUUUAAUAUCUGAACUCCUUGAUUAGUUGAAUCAAGCUAAGAUCUAUUCAAAAAUAGACCUACAAGGAGCAUACAAUCUAGUACACAUCAAAGAAGGAGAUGAAUAGAAGACUACGUUUCGAACAAGGUAUGGACAUUUUGAAUACAACGUCAUGGCUUUUGGACUUAUAAAUGCACUAGCAUUAUUCCAAUAUCUAAUGAAUGAUGUCUUUGAGAGUUUUUAGAUGAUUUUAUUAUCUGUUACCUAGACGACAUCUUAAUCUAUUCUAAGAACAUAGAAGAACAUGAACUUCAUAUUUGUCGUAUGUUACAAAAACUAAGAGAUGCAGUACUCUAUGCCAAGAUAGAAAAGUAUGUAUUUCACACUACUCAAGUCAAAUUUUUAGGAUACAUCAUUUCAAAUGAUGGACUUAUGAUGGAUCCUAAGAAAGUUCAAGCUAUUAUAGAUUGGAAGAUCCCAAAAACGGUAAGAGAUGUCCAAUGCUUUUUGGGAUUUGCCAAUUACUAUCGAAUCUUUAUCAAAGACUUCUCUCAAGUUGCACCUCCACUUAUACAUUUGACUUGUAAAGACAACCUUCAAUGGAAUCAAGGAGCAGAAGUAGCAUUUGAAGCCUUGAAAAUAGCCUUUGUUUUCGCACCAAUCUUGUAUUGCAUGAAUUUUUUUAAGCCAUUUUUUAUAGAAAUAGAUGCAUUAGACUUUGCUUUGGGUGCCCUAUUGUCACAAAUGGAAACAAAUGAUAAACUUCAUCAAGUAGCUUUUUAUUCUAGAAAAUUUUUAACAGUCGAGAUCAACUACGAGAUCCAUGACAAAGAACUUUUUGUAAUUGUAGAUUCAUUUCAAGAAUGGUGCCAUUAUCUAGAAGGUACUCUUAGUCUAAUCACCGUAUAUACAGAUCACAAGAACCUUGAAUAUUUUAUAUCAGCACGUAUCUUGAAUUGUUGCCAAGCUCGUUGAAAUAUGUCUUUAUCAAGAUUCGAAUUCAAGAUCACUUGUCGACCGAAAAAACAAUAAGAUUUGUCAGAUGCACUCUCUAGAUGAUCUUAUCUUGCAUCAAAGGAAGGAGAUGCUACUUUUGAUCAACAAUUGACAAUUCACUUGAAGCUCGAGCAUCUUCAUCUUCGAGUAAUGAAAUCAAUACUAAUUAUUGAUUCAACUUUCAUUAAGCAAGUUCAGUCAAGUAUGUCUUCUGAUCCUCUUAUUUGUGAUAUUAAGAGAAAUCCUUCAAAUAAUUAAUAUCUCUUAAAAGGCUUUGUUGGAGAUUAGAGCAUUCCUUCAACCUCCAACCUUCCAUGUAUAUAUUCCUUCAAAUUGAAGAUAAUCCACUGCCACUCAUAUCUUGUAUAACAAAUCGCAUAUUUUAUAUAAAUUUUAUAAGCUUUGUGGUUGCCAAUACUUAUUAAGUGUUAUAGAUACAUCUUCAUAUAAGAUACUAUAUAAAUCAUUGCUCAAAUGAUUUGACUUUAAACAACUUUUUAUACAAAAACUUGAUCUUAUAGAGAUAAAAGAUGUGUUUUUCAAAUGAUACUAGUUAUGUAAUUAUGUGGAUAAAGUGCUUGUAACUUGACUCUCUUAUUAUAUAUAUAUAUAUAUAUAUAUAUUUGUGAAAUUUGAUGAGAUUUUUUGGAUUCAUGUGAUUGAACAAGCAAGCAUUGACAAUCUUGAGGUUGCUUAAUUGAUUUGAAAAAGUGGCAUAGAUGGUAUAGAAGAUCUCACCUGUGUGCUAGGAACAAGAACAGGAAGAUUAUCCUUGUGUUGUGGAUGCCGGGGGAUUAUCCUCAAUUUGAAGAGAUAUGUGCAUAGCUGGAAGGGGGGUCUGAAGAUUGAACCAAUCCCCAACAAAGCCUCUCAGGGGACGGUAAUUAUUUUUGCAGUCCUUUGAAUAUAUAUUGCAGUUCCCUACAACCCCGUCCGUCGUUUGGAGGUGUUGGGACGGGGGAUGGGAACAAGAGCAGAAACAAGGAAAGAGAGGAUUGGGAUAAGGAAUGUGGGCUAGGAUGAGAACGUGGGACGGAGAACAACAAGAUUGGAAUAGAGAACAGAGGAUACAAUGUCGGUUGUGAUAGGUGGAUCAAAUAAAUGGCCAACGUUGCAUGAAGCCAAAACAAUGGUGGAAGCUUAUUGGGGUUGUGCAAACCACCGACGAAGUCCCGACGCACCGCUUUGAGGAACGAAGCAAUUCGCCGAAGAGAGAGAGAGAGAGCAAGUAGAGUGGCAUCGUCGUUACUGUUUCGAUCACCGCUUCACUUUUCGGCGUCGACUUUCAACAUCGAAAUUUGAGAGGACGAUGGAAAUAUGUGGACGAAUGAUUCCGCAGGGAAAGCCACGAAGAAGCCGAUAAUUCAUCAUACACGGCGUCAUAGGUCUUGCCACCGUAUUGCAAACUUUCCACGAUGGCUUCAGUGUCGAAGCUAGUGGAACAUGCUAGGGUUUUCUCCGAAUCCACAAGCUGUUCAGCUGGAAGUAACCGGCCGUGACAAGCGCAGUUGCCGUAAUGGAAGGCUCUAGAGUAAAUAUCUGGCUUGGCAAUCAACCGCCACCUGGAAAUAUCGGAACGUCUUUCAUCACCGGCGACUGGAGGAUUUCGUAUCGGAGCAUCUGCGAUUUUACAUGGUGCCGAUUGAUUGCAAGUUGCGAUUCGAGAAGUUUCAGAUUCCAUGCUUACGUUUCACGCUUUCGAGGAUCUCCACGAAAUUGCCUGAAACCGCUCAACGAGACCUAGUCGUCUUCUUUCUCUCGCUAUUCAUCCUCGCCGAAGUGUCCUCAUUGUUGCCCCCUUCGUUGGACGAGGCGACGAAUGAUAUUUUUAUCGACCUGAGCAUCCUUUAUACCAUCUCUUUUGUCCGUUGUGCUUCAUCCUGACCUCGUUCAUGCUCAUCAUCAUAUAAACCUCAAGGGUCUCUCACCGUCCCUCGAAUUUGUUACUUUCUACCUCUUGAUUGUGGAAGUGAGUAGGAGAGGUUCGUGUUGCUGUGAAGAAGCUAGCGUGAGAGGGAGCUUGGGUUUUUCUCUUACAUAUCUCCUCAAUUACUGCUUUCAGUUAUCUUUUAGUUCAAGAUGCAGAUCUUUGUAAAGACCUUGACUGGGAAGACCAUCACCCUCGAGGUGGAGAGCUCCGAUACAAUCGAUAACGUGAAGACGAAGAUCCAGGAUAAGGAGGGGAUUCCUCCUGACCAGCAGAGGUUGAUCUUUGCGGGCAAGCAAUUGGAGGACGGUAGAACGCUGGCGGAUUACAACAUACAGAAGGAGUCCACCUUGCACUUGGUGCUUAGGUUGCGGGGAGGCAUGCAGAUCUUCGUGAAGACCCUGACGGGAAAGACGAUUACCCUCGAGGUCGAGAGCUCAGACACAAUUGAUAACGUGAAGACGAAGAUUCAGGACAAGGAGGGCAUCCCACCCGACCAGCAGAGAUUGAUCUUUGCAGGUAAGCAGUUGGAAGACGGGCGCACCCUUGCUGACUACAACAUACAGAAGGAGUCCACUUUGCACUUGGUGCUUAGGUUGCGGGGAGGCAUGCAGAUCUUCGUGAAGACCCUGACGGGAAAGACGAUUACCCUCGAGGUCGAGAGCUCAGACACAAUUGACAACGUGAAGACAAAGAUUCAGGACAAGGAGGGCAUCCCACCCGACCAGCAGAGGCUGAUUUUUGCUGGGAAGCAGUUGGAGGAUGGGCGCACCCUUGCCGACUACAACAUCCAAAAAGAGUCUACCUUGCACUUGGUGCUUAGGUUGCGGGGAGGAAUGCAGAUUUUUGUGAAGACCUUGACAGGGAAGACGAUUACUCUCGAGGUAGAGAGCUCGGACACAAUUGAUAAUGUGAAGACAAAGAUCCAGGAUAAGGAGGGCAUCCCGCCCGACCAGCAGAGGUUGAUUUUUGCAGGAAAGCAAUUGGAAGACGGGCGCACCCUUGCUGACUACAACAUCCAGAAGGAGUCAACCUUGCAUCUGGUUCUGCGCUUGAGAGGUGGUAUGCAGAUUUUUGUGAAGACCUUGACGGGAAAGACGAUUACCCUCGAAGUUGAGAGCUCGGACACAAUUGACAAUGUAAAGACGAAGAUUCAGGACAAGGAGGGCAUCCCACCUGACCAGCAGAGGUUGAUUUUUGCAGGAAAGCAAUUGGAAGACGGGAGGACUCUUGCUGACUACAACAUUCAGAAGGAGUCCACUUUACACUUAGUGCUUAGGUUGAGGGGAGGCAUGCAGAUCUUCGUGAAGACCUUGACGGGGAAGACAAUUACCCUCGAGGUCGAGAGCUCGGAUACAAUUGACAAUGUAAAGACGAAGAUUCAGGACAAGGAGGGAAUCCCAC
rnacentral:lncRNA from 1 species